AGUUAAUUAGCUUAUUAAAAGCAUAUACUUUGAAAGUAUAAGAAAGAUGAUAAACUGUUUAUUAACUU
rnacentral:tRNA from 1 species